AUUGAACGCUGGCGGCAUGCCUUACACAUGCAAGUCGAACGGCAGCGGGCCCUUCGGGGUGCCGGCGAGUGGCGAACGGGUGAGUAAUGCAUCGGAACGUACCCGGGAGAGGGGGAUAACCGGCCGAAAGGCUGGCUAAUACCGCAUGAACUCGGAAGAGCAAAGCGGGGGACCUUCGGGCCUCGCGCUCUCGGAGCGGCCGAUGUCCGAUUAGGCUAGUUGGUGGGGUAAAGGCCCACCAAGGCGACGAUCGGUAGCGAGUCUCAGAGGACGAUCCGCCACACUGGGACUGAGACACGGCCCAGACUCCUACGCGAGGCAGCAGUGGGGAAUCUUAGACAAUGGGCGCAAGCCUGAUCCAGCAAUGCCGCGUUGGUGAAGAAGGCCUUCGGGUUGUAAAGCCCUUUCGGCGGGGAAGAAAUCGGUCAGGCGAAUAGUCUGGCCGGAUGACGGUACCCGCAGAAGAAGCACCGGCUAACUACGUG
rnacentral:rRNA from 1 species